rnacentral:tRNA from 1 species
CGGGGUGUAGCUCAGUUUGGUCAGAGCACCUGGUUUGGGACCAGGGUGUCGCAAGUUCGAAUCCUGUCACCCCGA